rnacentral:rRNA from 1 species
UGAGGAAUCUUGCGACAAUGGACGAAAGUCUGACGCAACCGCGCCGCGUGCAGUGAAGAAGGCCCUAUGGGUCGUAAAACGGUUUUUGUCAGGGAAGAAAACCACGGGAUUUGUCCCGUGCUGACGGUACCUGUCGAAGAAGCACCGGCUAACUCCGUGC